rnacentral:rRNA from 1 species
AGCAGCCGCGGUAAUUCCAGCUCCAAUAGCGUAUAUUAAAGUUGUUGCAGUUAAAAAGCUCGUAGUUGAAUUUCGGGAUUGAUGCAUCGGUCGUGCCUUAAGGGGUAUGAACUGGUGUGGUCAAUUUCUUACCUUCUGGUGAAUUGUGAUGUCCUCCUUAAUUGGGUGUUUCAAUGAACUAGGACUUUUUACUUUGAAAAAUUAGAGUGUUUAAAGCAGGCAUUAUUUGCUUGAAUACAUUAGCAUGGAAUAAUAAAAUAGGACAAUGAUUCUAUUUUGUUGGUUUCUAGGAUCACUGUAAUGAUUAAUAGGGAUAGUUGGGGGCAUUAGUAUUCAAUUGUCAGAGGUGAAAUUCUUGGAUUAAUUGAAGACUAACUACUGCGAAAGCAUUUGCCAAGGAUGUUUUCAUUAAUCAAGAACGAAAGUUAGGGGAUCGAAGACGAUCAGAUACCGUCGUAGUCUUAACCAUAAACUAUGCCGACUAGGAACCAGACGAUGUUAAUUUUUAAUGUACUCG